rnacentral:lncRNA from 1 species
GCCCGGAUGAGCCUGCUGGGGAAGCCGCUGUCCUACUCGAGCGGCCAGAGCUGCCGGCGCAACGCCAAGUACCGGCGCGUGCAGAACUACCUGUACAACGUGCUGGAGCGGCCGCGUGGCUGGGCGUUCGUGUACCACGCGUUCGUGUGGAGAAAUAAAUCAAAAAGCAGUGGGUGUUGUUACUCAUUUGGCUUAUGUACUUUUCAACAAGCAAUCAGACUCCUACCAGGAUAUUUUGGAAGAGAAAGAACACAAUUCUAGCAUUAUUCUGUACUUCUCCCUGGUGCCUGAAGUCGACUGAGAGGCAACUGAUGACAGAGACUUGAAGAAAGAGGCAGGAUGGAUGUGCAGCCCAGAAAUGGCUUGGAUUUUGACUUUAUCUCUUUCUCUGUUGCAGUAUUCAUUUAUUAGUUUGCAUGACACUUUACAAGUUACAUGUGUUAUGAUAGAAACUGAAGCUUUCAAGAGUGUUUUCUCUUUGACUUGGUACUGACUGGGGGAGUCAUCACACCGUAUUAAUUUCUUAACUGCAUUUAUAACCAUAAAUAGUGGUAAAAGCAUCAUCACAAGAUGGUGCUGGUAAAGUCAGUUGUCACAAUAAGUAAGUCAGGCAAAAAUGCAGGGACAAGCGAGGCUGGUGGCACACUCCUGUAACCCUGGUGCCCUGGGAGGCUGAAGCAAGACUGGAAGUUUGAAAUCAGUCAGGGCAACUUAGUGACUUAGUGAAACCCAGUUUCAAAAUAAAAUAAAAUAAAAUAAAAUGUCGGGGAUUUAGCUCAGUGAUAGAGCACUUGCCUAGAAUGCAUGAGGCCCUGGGUUCAAAAAAGUUAUCUUCCUUAUUUUCCUGUAUUGAGGAAAAUUUGAAGACUAAGAAAAAUAGUGUAGCUUUCCUGUAAUCCCACUGAGUUCUCCCAUCUUAAUGUGCUGCUGUAUUUUUUUGAUCAUUUUAAAAUGUAUGCAUGUUGCCAAAUUUUUGGUUAUACCAUGUGUUCCAUUUAUAUUUAUUUAACUUUGCAACAUUAUCAUUUAUCUGUGUUACUGAAAAUUCUUUGUAAAGUUUACUCUUAAUUGGUUGGUAAAAACAGCCUGUGGAAUUUCCCUAGUUACUAACAAUGUGGAUAUUUUCAAUUUUUCACAAUUAAAAAUCCUGUGUAAAAUUCUUGUACUUUUAUCUGUGUGUUUGAGGGGUAUGUACCUCAAGUUACGUCCUUAGGAUAGAUUUCUAGAAUAGGAACACUACCUCAUAAAGCUGUCACUACAUGUAGGAUAAAAUUGACUUGUCAAAGGUUUGUAGCAAUCCAUAAUGUACACUAUCACCCCUCCUUGUUCUGAUGUCAUAAUUAUAAAUUUUAACUGUGCAGCAGACUAGGGGUAGGUUUUCAAAUAUUAACAUAAAUGUAGAUUUUUAAAAAGCAAGAGUUUACAUGGGAGAGCUUUGGUAAUGCGGA